rnacentral:ribozyme from 1 species
UUUUUUUUUUUUUUUUUUUUUUUUCUCCUC